rnacentral:rRNA from 1 species
UACGUAGGGGGCAAGCGUUGUCCGGAAUCAUUGGGCGUAAAGCGCGCGUAGGCGGCUCGAUCAGUCUGCUGUGAAAGUCAAAGGCUCAACCUUUGAAUGCCGGUGGAUACUGUCGAGCUAGAGUCCGGAAGAGGCGAGUGGAAUUCCUGGUGUAGCGGUGGAGUGCGCAGAUAUCAGGAGGAACACCAACGGCGGAGGCAGCUCGCUGGGACGGUACUGACGCUAAGGCGCGAAAGCGUGGGGAGCGAACAGG